rnacentral:tRNA from 1 species
ACCUGUCUGGCUCAGUUAGUGGAGCAUGUGACUUUUGAUCUUCGGGUUGUGGAUUUGAGCUCCAUGUUGGGUG